UCUGAAUUGGUUCAGUGGCGUACAUUUUAAUAACCGCUGAAACGGCCGGGGUUCGAUUCUCCAAUUCAGAG